UGCCCUGUGGUGUAAUUGGCAACAUCCUGCUCUUUGAAAGCAGAGAUUCCAGGUUCAAACCCUGGCGGGGCAG
rfam:Planktothrix tepida PCC 9214 isolate BBR_PRJEB10993 genome assembly, scaffold: BBR_B_PL9214_scaffold57